UUGAUCAUGGCUCAGAUUGAACGCUGGCGGCAGGCCUAACACAUGCAAGUCGAGCGGCAGCACAGAGGAACUUGUUCCUUGGGUGGCGAGCGGCGGACGGGUGAGUAAUGCCUGGGAAAUUGCCCGGUAGAGGGGGAUAACCAUUGGAAACGAUGGCUAAUACCGCAUAACCUCGCAAGAGCAAAGCAGGGGACCUUCGGGCCUUGCGCUACCGGAUAUGCCCAGGUGGGAUUAGCUAGUUGGUGAGGUAAGGGCUCACCAAGGCGACGAUCCCUAGCUGGUCUGAGAGGAUGAUCAGCCACACUGGAACUGAGACACGGUCCAGACUCCUACGGGAGGCAGCAGUGGGGAAUAUUGCACAAUGGGCGCAAGCCUGAUGCAGCCAUGCCGCGUGUAUGAAGAAGGCCUUCGGGUUGUAAAGUACUUUCA
rnacentral:rRNA from 1 species